UACGGAGGGUGCAAGCGUUAAUCGGAAUUACUGGGCGUAAAGCGCACGCAGGCGGUCUGUCAAGUCGGAUGUGAAAUCCCCGGGCUCAACCUUGGAACUGCAUUCAAUACUGCCAGGCUAGAGUACGGUAGAGGGGGGUAGAAUUCCACGUGUAGCGGUGAAAUGCGUAGAGAUGUGGAGGAAUACCGGUGGCGAAGGCGGCCCCCUGGACAAAGACUGACGCUCAGGUGCGAAAGCGUGGGGAGCAAACAGG
rnacentral:rRNA from 1 species